UACGGAGGAUCCGAGCGUUAUCCGGAAUUAUUGGAUUUAAAGGGUGCGUAGGCGGCCAUUUAAGUCAGCGGUGAAAUUUUGCAGCUUAACUGUAACAGUGCCGUUGAUACUGUUUGGCUAGGAUUUGGUUGUAGUGUGCGGAAUGUGUGGUGUAGCGGUGAAAUGCUUAGAUAUCACACAGAACACCGAUUGCGAAGGCAGCACACUAAGUCAUUAUUGACGCUGAGGCACGAAAGUGUGGGGAUCAAACAGGAUUAGA
rnacentral:rRNA from 1 species